rnacentral:rRNA from 1 species
UAGAGUUUGAUCCUGGCUCAGAAUCAACGCUGGCGGCGUGCCUAAUACAUGCAAGUCGUACGCGAAGACCCCGCAAGGGGUGCAUAGCGUGGCAAACGGGUGAGUAACGCGUGGGCGACCUACCUCAGAGUGGGGGAUAACCUUCCGAAAGGAGGGCUAAUACCGCAUGACAUGCUCCGUUUAGAUACGGGGACAUCAAAGCCGGGGAUCGCAAGACCUGGCGCUUGGAGAGGGGCCUACGUCCGAUUAGCUAGUUGGUGGGGUAAUGGCUCACCAAGGCGACGAUCGGUAUCCGGCCUGAGAGGGCGGACGGACACACUGGAACUGAGACACGGUCCAGACUCCUACGGGAGGCAGCAGUAGGGAAUUGUUCGCAAUGGGCGCAAGCCUGACGACGCAACGCCGCGUGGAGGAUGAAGACCUUCGGGUCGUAAACUCCUUUCGACCGAGAUGAAUACCUUCUGACCUAAUACGUCGGGAGGCUGACAGUAUCGAGGGAAGCAGCCCCGGCUAACUCCGUGCCAGCAGCCGCGGUAAUACGGGGGGGGCAAGCGUUGUUCGGAAUUACUGGGCGUAAAGGGUUCGUAGGUGGCCAACUAAGUCAGACGUGAAAUCCCUCAGCUUAACUGGGGAACUGCGUCUGAUACUGGUUGGCUUGAGUGCAGGAGAGGAACGCGGAAUUCCAGGUGUAGCGGUGAAAUGCGUAGAUAUCUGGAGGAACACCGGUGGCGAAGGCGGCGUUCUGGACUGCAACUGACACUGAGGAACGAAAGCCAGGGGAGCAAACGGGAUUAGAUACCCCGGUAGUCCUGGCCCUAAACGAUGAAUGCUUGGUGUGGCGGGUAUCGAUCCCUGCCGUGCCGAAGUUAACGCGUUAAGCAUUCCGCCUGGGGAGUACGGUCGC